CCCUGUUUCACCCCCUCCCCCCCUCUUUUUUUACCGUCUUUAACCCUUGUAAUUCUUUAUUCUUCUUAUUCUCUUCUCUUCUCUUCUUUCUUAUGGAAUGAAUAGAAACUGUUGAGAUUAUACUUUCUUUCUCUUCUUGUAAGCGGGGAUUCCUCGUCUUUUCUUUGUGUUCUUUUCGGUGGGGUUCUUUUGUCGUAAAAAUUGCGGGCGAGCGAGACCGGCUUUUAGGGCGGAAAUUAAACAAGAGAUGGGGGUUGGCUAUCUCGGCGAAUGAUGGCGGAUUUCGAUGUGGGCUCUCGUUUGCCUGGUGGAAAAGAUGGUUUUUUUUUUCUUUUGAAAAAAGAGGGAUUUUUUGAACUUUUUUUUGGAGUUAGGUCUUUGACCUUGGUCUUGAAUUCCGUUGGAGAUUGGUGUAGGUUUUUGUCUUUCCUUUUGAAAAUAUUUCGAGGUAGUUGAUUGCGGAAGGGAUAGAGGGAAUUUUGAUGAUCUUGUCCCAUCUAUUCUAUUCUUUUGUCGGUUUUUACCUCCAAAAAAGAAGGGCGUUUUCCGCAAAAAAAGGAGAGAUUUUUUGCCCCAUUUUAUUGGAUUUUGUUUCCGUGUUUUGUGGUUGAUGGGAUUUUUGAGCAUGAUGGGCAAUUCCUUUGGGUGCUCGGCAUCCGGGGAGCGGCUGGUCUCGGCAGCAAGAGAUGGCGACCUUCAAGAAGCCAAGGCUCUCUUGGAGUACAAUCCCCGGCUUGCCAGGUAUUCCACCUUUGGCGUCCGGAACUCGCCGCUCCAUUACUCCGCUGCACAGGGUCACCAUGAGAUUGUCUCUCUGUUGCUUGAAUCUGGUGUCGAUAUUAAUCUCCGGAACAUCCGAGGGCAGACUGCUUUAAUGCAAGCUUGUCAAUAUGGUCACUGGGAGGUUGUUCAGACUCUAAUGCUUUUCAAAGCCAAUAUUCACAGAACGGAUUAUCUCAAUGGUGGAACGGCUCUCCACUUUGCAGCUCUAAAUGGUCACACUCGAUGCAUUCGUCUUCUUCUUGCUGAUUAUGUGCCAAGCAUAGAUGGCUUUUGGAAUAUGAUGAGGAAACAAACCCAAGAAGUUUCUAUUGCAGAUUUUGAUGUGGGUGCUCUAUCUAAGAUAGUUAAUAGAAAGGCAGAUGGAGGCAUUACAGCUCUUCAUAUGGCUGCACUAAAUGGGCACACUGAGAGCGUGCAGUUACUAUUGGACUUGGGAGCUUCUGUUACUGAAGUCACAGUGGAAGAUGGGACGACUAUAGACUUGAUAGGUGCAGGAAGCACACCCCUUCAUUAUGCUGCUUGUGGUGGAAAUGCAGCUUGUUGUCAGGUUCUUAUCGCCAGAGGUGCCAGCAUAACUGCUGAAAAUGCUAAUGGUUGGACUCCUUUGAUGGUAGCUCGAUCAUGGCAUCGGAAUUGGCUCGAGGGUAUUCUAAAUAAGCAACCGGAAAGCCGAAGAAUGUGGAUGGAGAAAUAAGAACCAGUCACCUGCAUGUAUUGAUCCAUGUGUUGUUUGCUUGGAAAGAAAAUGCACAGUAGCUGCAGAAGGUUGUGGUCAUGAGUUCUGCACUAGGUGUGCUCUGUACUUGUGCUCCACCAAUAGCACUUCAACAAUCGCUGCAGGCCCACCUGGCUCUAUACCCUGCCCUCUCUGCCGGCAUGCAAUUGUCUCGUUUUCCAAACUCUCGGGCACAAGCCCCAUCAGGGAGUUGCCAAGGACGAGCCUUUCCUUGUCUUUAUGUGCUACUUGUCCAGCCGUGGGCUCAGGUUCUACCACUUCGAUGACUACUCGGUUGUGCAAGCCUGACUUCCACUGUACUCGGAUCCCGCCACUGGGUUCAUCAUCCUUUCGGUCUCUCAGCUGCCAGAGGUUCCCUUCGAUGAAGCUGAAUUCGACUCUUUGCAUGGGAGCUCCAGAAACAAGCCCGUGCCUUAUCAGGUGCUCGAGAUCAGGAUCACUAGGGCGGUCAGCUUCUCAAGGGGAGAGCAGCAGAAGGUCAUGGCUUCUUGCCCUUAACCAAAUUGUUACUACUGGAAGCAGUUAGAAUUCUGCAAUCCAUCCUCUUCUUUUUUGUUUCUCUGUUUGUUUGUUUUUCCUCGUUUUUUUUUUUUAGGUGUGCUUGCCUUGCGAAUCCUUUUUCAUGAAAAUGCCAAUCAACCCUGCUGCUGAUAUUAGUGACGUGUCCCCUGUGUCGUAAAUAGAGGAUUAUGUGCUGUUGUUGUGUUGCAUGUGCAGGAUCAUCAUGGCGGCUAUUGUUUUCUAUUCGUUUUUGUUCUUUGAUUUUGUAAAUGAAGAAGGAUAUUGCUCAUGCUUUUUUUUUUUUUAAAAUGCAAGUUUGAAAGGUGA